UGUUAUGGCGGCUGUACGUGGGAGAUCUUCGGGAUCUGCCGGGUAGUGCGCCUCUUCUUGCCCCGGUCUUGCACACCUGCGUAUAGCUGCCACCCUC
rfam:Pseudomonas batumici strain TCM B-321 Contig_57, whole genome shotgun sequence.